GUAAGUGAGUUUCUCUAAUCAAGUUGGUACCAAAAAAGAAUAAAAAAAUCCAAAUUUUUCAGGAUUUUUGAAAACUUUAUGUAGUAACCAAGAAAGAUUGCUUCCCAUUGCCUUUCACGGAUAGUAUAUUGGAUGCCGUAGCAAAUCACAAAUGUUAUUUGUUCUUAGAUGGAUUUUUUUGGAUAUAAUCAAGUUCAAAUUGCAAUAGAAAAUCAGCUCAAGAUGAUCUUUACUAUGGAUUGGGGCACAUUUACUUAUCACGUGAUGCCUUU
rnacentral:lncRNA from 1 species